rnacentral:rRNA from 1 species
AUUGAACGCUGGCGGUAUGCCUAACACAUGCAAGUCGAACGAGGUAGCAAUACCUAGUGGCGGACGGGUGAGGAAUACGUAGGGAUCUGCCCUUAAGUGGGGGAUAACCCGGGGAAACCCGGAUUAAUACCGCAUGAUCUCGCAAGAGCAAAGAGGGGGGCCGCAAGGCCUCUCGCUUUUGGAGGAACCUACGUCGGAUUAGCUAGUUGGUGAGGUAAUGGCUCACCAAGGCGACGAUCCGUAACUGGUCUGAGAGGAUGAUCAGUCACACCGGAACUGAGACACGGUCCGGACUCCUACGGGAGGCAGCAGUGGGGAAUAUUGGACAAUGGGCGAAAGCCUGAUCCAGCAAUACCGCGUGUGUGAAGAAGGCCUUCGGGUUGUAAAGCACUUUAAGUUGGGAAGAAAAAGCUUCACCUAAUACGUGAAGCCUUGACGGUACCGACAGAAUAAGCACCGGCUAACUCUGUGCCAGCAGCCGCGGUAAUACAGAGGGUGCUAGCGUUAAUCGGAUUUACUGGGCGUAAAGCGUGCGUAGGUGGUUUGAUAAGUCGAUUGUGAAAGCCCCGGGCUUAACCUGGGAAUUGCGGUCGAUACUGUCAGACUCGAAAACGGUAGAGGAGGUGGAACUCCAGGU